GGAAGGAAGACGGGCGCGGGGCGCCGGGAGGGAGCCGAGCUGUGCCGGGGCUCCCACGCCUGAGAUCCCGAGGGACCGAGGGCCAAGGGCGCACACACACUUGGAAGCCUUUGAUUUAUUUAUCCCAUGGACUGCAAGCUCUUUGAGGGACCAGCAGAUGGCGAAAUGGUUACAUCACUGGACUCCCAGAGCUUGUUUAUUCCAUGAAUGAGUAAGACAGAGGCAGAGAUACAGUACACCUGACAGAGUCCUGCCACUAUGGUCCACACCCAGCUUCAACAGCAGAUAUCACGACUGCCUUGACCUUAGCUACGUGCUGACCUUACAUUCCUAAGAAGGAUGAUGAUGGGACCAGCAGAUAGCAUAAUGGUUAUGUCGCUGCACUCCUACUUAGUUGAUCGUGGU